rnacentral:rRNA from 1 species
GACAGAGGGUGCAAGCGUUGUUCGGAAUUACUGGGCGUAAAGGGCGUGUAGGCGGCGGGGUGUGUCCUGCGUGAAAGCCCCCGGCUCAACCGGGGAAGUGCGCGGGAUCCUACCUUGCUUGAGUGCGAGAGAGGGUGGCGGAAUUCUCAGUGUAGAGGUGAAAUUCGUAGAUACUGGGAGGAACACCGGAGGCGAAGGCGGCCACCUGGAUCGUAACUGACGCUGAAACGCGAAAGCGUGGGGAG